rnacentral:rRNA from 1 species
AUGAAUUGGACCUCCAUGCUCCUUUCCUCUGGUACUUCUUCAGUGUUGCUUAAUGGGGUGCCAGGAAAAUUCUUUCAUUGCAAUCAAGGGGUUAGACAAGGUGAUCUUGUCUCUCCUUUGUUAUUUGUGUUGGCUGCUGACCUACUCCAAUCCACCCUCAAUGAAGCUAUGCAAAAUCAGCUGAUUCUUCCUCCUAUUGUUAGUCAAGCUUGCCCUGACUUCCCAGUGAUUCAGUUUGCUGAUGAUACCAUCUUAGUCCUGCCAGCUGAUAUGAGACAAAUUGAGCAAGUCAAAAAUCUCCUUCAUUACUCUGCUUUCACAGGUCUGAGAGUGAAUUAUGAGAAAUCCUUCUUGGUGCCACUAAAUGUACCAAUCACACAACUUCACUCUUUGCUUAAUGUUUUGGGCUGCCAGCAAGGUCAUUUUCCUUUCACCUAUUUAGGUCUCCCUCUUGGCACAACAAAACCAAAAAUUGAAGAUUUUAACCCAAUGAUGCAAAGAAUUGAAAGAAGGCUUUUUGGCUGCUCCACUAUGUUAUCUUAUGAUGGCAGGCUUUUGCUUAUAAAAUCAGUUUUUGCAUCUCUGCCAAUAUUCUUCAUGAGCUCUCUAGCUCUCCGAGUUGGUGUGUUACAGCAAAUCAACAAGUACUUGAGAAAUUUCCUUUGGAGGAAAUUUGGUAUGGAGGAUAGAGGAACUGCACUUAUUGCUUGGUCCAAGGUUUGUAGGCCAAAAAGCAAGGAGGACUUGGAAUAG